rnacentral:misc_RNA from 1 species
UUUCCGUAGGUGAACCUGCGAAAGGAUCAUUAAUGAGUUGUCAUGGGGUUCGAUGCUGGCAGCCAAUUUUUGGAUGCAUGUGCUUGCCCUAACAAUCAUCUUCCAAACACCUGUGCACAUUUUUGAGGGAGUCUUGAGUUGGUUGCCGCUCUUGGGUGAUUUUCUCACAUUCCCUUAAAUCAUUAUACGCUAUUAACAAUGUUGAACGUGCUCUGUGCCGCAAGGCUAUUAAUAUAAUACAACUUUUAACAACGGAUCUCUUGGCUCUC